rnacentral:rRNA from 1 species
CCUACGGGUGGCAGCAGUGGGGAAUAUUGGACAAUGGGCGAAAGCCUGAUCCAGCCAUGCCGCGUGUGUGAAGAAGGCCUUCGGGUUGUAAAGCACUUUCAGUGGGGAAGAAAGCCUUGGGGCUAAUACCCUCGAGGAAGGACAUCACCCACAGAAGAAGCACCGGCUAACUCCGUGCCAGCAGCCGCGGUAAUACGGAGGGUGCGAGCGUUAAUCGGAAUUACUGGGCGUAAAGCGCGCGUAGGCGGUCUGAUAAGCCGGUUGUGAAAGCCCCGGGCUCAACCUGGGAACGGCAUCCGGAACUGUCAGGCUAGAGUGCAGGAGAGGAAGGUAGAAUUUCCGGUGUAGCGGUGAAAUGCGUAGAGAUCGGGAGGAAUACCAGUGGCGAAGGCGGCCUUCUGGACUGACACUGACGCUGAGGUGCGAAAGCGUGGGUAGCAAACAGGAUUAGAUACCCCUGUGUC